rnacentral:rRNA from 1 species
AUUUUUAUAAUCUUUAUUAAAGGAUCAUUUAAUUAAAUUAAUUAUUAUUAUUAUAAAAUUUAAAACAGUUAUUAUUUAUAUUUCUAUCGCCCCAAUAAAAUAAAUAAAACUAAAAAAAAAAGUAAACAACUAAUUUAUUCUCAUAAUUUAAAAUUAUUAAAUUUUAUAGGGUCUUAUCGUCACUUUAAUUAAUUUAAGCCUUUUUACUUAAAAGUUAAAUUCAAUUAAUUAAAUUAAGACAGAUUAUUUCUUGUUCAACCAUUCAUUCAAGCCUUCAA